AAAGAGGUUUUUUUAAAAACCACCCAAACCUAACCAAACCAAAAACU
rfam:Manacus vitellinus contig43564, whole genome shotgun sequence.